UACGGAGGGUGCAAGCGUUUAUCCGGAUUCACUGGGUUUAAAGGGUGCGUAGGAGGGCAGGUAAGUCAGUGGUGAAAUCUCCGAGCUUAACUUGGAACUGCCGUUGAUACUAUCUGCCUUGAAUAUUGUGGAGGUGAGCGGAAUAUGUCAUGUAGCGGUGAAAUGCUUAGAUAUGACAUAGAACACCAAUUGCGAAAGGCAGCUCGCUACACAUAUAUUGACUCUGAGGCACGAAAGCGUGGGGAUCAAACAGG
rnacentral:rRNA from 1 species